GACGAACGCUGGCGGCGUGCCUAAUACAUGCAAGUUGAGCGAUGAAGAUUGGUGCUUGCCCCAAUUUGAAGAGCAGCGAACGGGUGAGUAACGCGUGGGGAAUCUGCCUUUGAGCGGGGGACAACAUUUGGAAACGAAUGCUAAUACCGCAUAAUAACUUUAAACAUAAGUUUUAAGUUUGAAAGAUGCAAUUGCAUCACUCAAAGAUGAUCCCGCGUUGUAUUAGCUAGUUGGUGAGGUAAAGGCUCACCAAGGCGAUGAUACAUAGCCGACCUGAGAGGGUGAUCGGCCACAUUGGGACUGAGACACGGCCCAAACUCCUACGGGAGGCAGCAGUAGGGAAUCUUCGGCAAUGGACGAAAGUCUGACCGAGCAACGCCGCGGGAGUGAAGAAGGGUGUCGGAUCGUAAAACUCUGUUGGUAGAGAAGAACGUUGGUGAGAGUGGAAAGCUCAUCAAGUGACGGUAACUACCCAGAAAGGGACGGCUAACUACGUG
rnacentral:rRNA from 1 species